AUUGAACGCUGGCGGCAGGCUUAACACAUGCAAGUCGAGCGGAGAGAGGUAGCUUGCUACUGAUCUUAGCGGCGGACGGGUGAGUAAUGCUUAGGAAUCUGCCUAUUAGUGGGGGACAACAUUUCGAAAGGAAUGCUAAUACCGCAUACGUCCUACGGGAGAAAGCAGGGGAUCUUCGGACCUUGCGCUAAUAGAUGAGCCUAAGUCGGAUUAGCUAGUUGGUGGGGUAAAGGCCUACCAAGGCGACGAUCUGUAGCGGGUCUGAGAGGAUGAUCCUCCACAAUGGGACUGAGACACGGCCCAGACUCCUACGGGAGGCAGCAGUGGGGAAUAUUGGACAAUGGGCGGAAGCCUGAUCCAGCCAUGCCGCGUGUGUGAAGAAGGCCUUAUGGUUGUAAAGCACUUUAAGCGAGGAGGAGGCUACUUUAGUUAAUACCUAGAGAUAGUGGACGUUACUCGCAGAAUAAGCACCGGCUAACUCUGUGCCAGCCGCCGCAGUAAUAC
rnacentral:rRNA from 1 species